rnacentral:rRNA from 1 species
CAGCAGCCGCGGUAAUACCGGCGGCCCGAGUGGCGGUCACUAUUAUUGGGCUUAAAGCGUCCGUAGCCGGGUUGGGAAGUCCUCCGGGAAAUCUGGCCGCUUAACGGUCAGAAUGCCGGAGGAUACUCCCAGCCUAGGGAGCGGGAGAGGCCGAGGGUAUUCCCGGAGUAGGGGGGAAAUCCUAUAAUCCCGGGAGGACCACCUGUGGCGAAGGCGCUCGGCUGGAACGCGUCCGACGGUGAGGGACGAAGGCCAGGGGAGCAAACCGGAUUAGAUACCCGGGUAGUCCUGGCUGUAAACGAUGCGGACUUUGUGUCGGACAAGCUAUGAGCUUGUCCGGUGCCGGAGGGAAACCGUUAAGUCCGCCGCCUGGGGAGUACGGCCGCAAGGCUGAAACUUAAAGGAAUGGCGGG